rnacentral:lncRNA from 1 species
AGGCAUAAACCUUACACGACUACGAAUAUUCGCAAACAAACGAAAAAUAAUUAUCUUGGCACGUGCCAAAACUCCUCUAAUCGUCUCCUUUUUCUUUUUAGUAAAUGGAUAAACAUUGACCAAAAAGAAAAAAAAGGUCCCCACAAAUCCGCAAAACGACACGCAGUCUACUCAGCACUUACCUAAAUCUAACCAAUCCUUAUCGGUUCACAUUCGCUCUCCCAAUCUUAAAAACCAGCGUCGGCCCACCGCAUCUC